ACCUUCGCUGUGGGAAACUGUUCCCUCAACGAAGCUCGGUCCGCUGAGAGCUACUGGUUGUCUUCAACCGCUGACCUAGCCGAGUGUCCACCCGGAUAGCCACAUCCACCAAGCCAUCAAAUGAGGAAGGUAAGUCAUGAGGAAUGAGUUCAUCCUUAAUCGCUUCAGACAGUCCAUUGAAGAAUGUAUCAUACAAGGCCUCUAAGUUCUAACCAGUAGAGGACACAAGAGUGCGGAAUUCAAUUGCAAAGUCAGACACUGACCUGCGCCCUUGACGGAGGUUGAGGAUCUCACGAGCAGCCUCCCUUCCCUGUUUUGAGCGAUCGAAGACCUUCUUCAUUUCAUCAGUGAACUGAGUGAAAUUAUCCUGGAUCUCCACCCUGUUGCUCCAGAUAGCCGUUCCCCACUCACAAGCUCUUCCGGACAACUGGGUGAUGAUGUAGGCGAUCUUUGAGCGAUCCGAUGGAAAGGUCAAAGGCUGCAGUCCAAAAAUCAGUUCACACUGAGCUAAGGACUGACAGGAUCCUGGAUCUCCUGAGUAAGUCUCAGGCAGAGGCAGGCGAGGUUCUUGGGCUGGCGGAGCUGAAGGAGGUGGUAGUGAAGAGGCUAACUGGAGCUGUUGUACCUUAGCAGCAAGAUCGGUCACGCUUGCUGUAGCAGCCUCCAAAGUCCUGGAGAGAAACUCAAGCUGUGUCUGGUGUUUCCCCAGCAUUGCUCCAUGCCGAUCAAGAAUAUUCUUUAUCUCUGCUGGGUCCAUGGUCUGGUCAGAUUGUAAUGUCAGGUUUCGUAAAUAGUUCGGACCCAAGUGCAGAGUUAGUUCAAAAAGUUUAUUCAACAGAAGAAAACAACUCCAACAAAAAACUUCCUGUCGUACGGUGGAAACUGAACAAAAGGCAGACCCUCCGUCACAAAACUGAAAAUAGCAAAAGGCUGACAAACCAGAAACACAGUACAAAGAGUAAUCCACAGGCAGGCAAAGGUCAGGUCCGAGAAGCAGUCCAAAAGGCACAGACAGGCAGAUAAUCCAAAACGGCAGGCAAAUCCAAAAGACAGGUCACAGGCAGAAUUCAAACAGGCGGGAAGA